rnacentral:lncRNA from 1 species
GUAAACUAGGCCGUCAGUAGCGUAUUUCUCGAAGGUAGGCAUAGUUGGAUUUUCGAGGACUGUUAGUGGCGUAUUUCUCAAACGAAGAAAUAUUUGAAUUUGAUCUCCAUGAAAGGAGGGUUAAUGGAUCUUCUUGAUAUAUUUGAUUAUCAAGAAUAAGAUGAUUUUGAUCUCUUUAUAAAUAUCCCAUGAAUUUCUGAGAUAUUUGAGAUCUUGGAGAUGUUGUGAAUUUAU